rfam:Psychrobacillus sp. FJAT-21963 super11, whole genome shotgun sequence.
GUCUCAGUAGCUCAGCUGGAUAGAGCAACGCCCUUCUAAGGCGUCGGUCGGGAGUUCGAAUCUCUCCUGGGACA